CCUACGGGGUGCAGCAGUAGGGAAUAUUGCUCAAUGGGGGAAACCCUGAAGCAGCAACGCCGCGUGGAGGAUGAAGGUUUUCGGAUUGUAAACUCCUUUUGUUAGAGAAGAUAAUGACGGUAUCUAACGAAUAAGCACCGGCUAACUCCGUGCCAGCAGCCGCGUUAAUACGGAGGGUGCAAGCGUUACGCGGAAUCACUGGGCGUAAAGAGCGCGUAGGCGGGAUAGAAAGUCAGAUGUGAAAUCCUAUGGCUUAACCAUAGAACUGCAUUUGAAACUGUUAGUCUAGAGUAUGGGAGAGGUAGGUGGAAUUCUUGGUGUAGGGGUAAAAUCCGUAGAGAUCAAGAAGAAUACUGAUUGCGAAGGCGACCUACUAGAACAUAACUGACGCUGAUGCGCGAAAGCGUGGGGAGCAAACAGGAUUAGAUACCCGAGUAGUC
rnacentral:rRNA from 1 species